rnacentral:rRNA from 1 species
GAUGAACGCUGGCGGCGUGCCUAAUACAUGCAAGUCGAGCGAACAGACGAGGAGCUUGCUCCUCUGACGUUAGCGGCGGACGGGUGAGUAACACGUGGAUAACCUACCUAUAAGACUGGGAUAACUUCGGGAAACCGGAGCUAAUACCGGAUAAUAUAUUGAACCGCAUGGUUCAAUAGUGAAAGACGGUUUUGCUGUCACUUAUAGAUGGAUCCGCGCCGCAUUAGCUAGUUGGUAAGGUAACGGCUUACCAAGGCAACGAUGCGUAGCCGACCUGAGAGGGUGAUCGGCCACACUGGAACUGAGUCACGGUCCAGACUCCUACGGGAGGCAGCAGUAGGGAAUCUUCCGCAAUGGGCGAAAGCCUGACGGAGCAACGCCGCGUGAAUGAUGAAGGUCUUCGGAUCGUAAAACUCUGUUAUUAGGGAAGAACAAAUGUGUAAGUAACUAUGCACGUCUUGACGGUACCUAAUCAGAAAGCCACGGCUAACUACGUG